GAAUCUGCCCUCAGGAGGGGGAUAACGGCUGGAAACGGCCGCUAAUACCCCAUAUGCCGAGAGGUGAAAUGAAUUUCGCCUGAGGAUGAGCUCGCGUCUGAUUAGCUAGUUGGUGUGGUAAAGGCUCACCAAGGCUUCGAUCAGUAGCUGGUCUGAGAGGAUGAUCAGCCACACUGGGACUGGGACACGGCCCAGACUCCUACGGGAGGCAGCAGUGGGGAAUUUUCCGCAAUGGGCGCAAGCCUGACGGAGCAACGCCGCGUGAGGGAUGAAGGCCUCUGGGCUGUAAACCUCUUUUAUCAAGGAAGAAGAUCUGACGGUACUUGAUGAAUAAGCCACGGCUAAUUCCGUGCCAGCAGCCGCGGUAAUACGGGAGUGGCAAGCGUUAUCCGGAAUUAUUGGGCGUAAAGCGUCCGCAGGCGGUUUUACAAGUCUGUCGUUAAAACGUGGAGCUCAACUCCAUUUCGGCGAUGGAAACUGUAAGACUAGAGUGUGGUAGGGGCAGAGGGAAUUCCCGGUGUAGCGGUGAAAUGCGUAGAUAUCGGGAAGAACACCAGUGGCGAAGGCGCUCUGCUGGGCCAUAACUGACGCUCAUGGACGAAAGCCAGGGGAGCG
rnacentral:rRNA from 1 species